rfam:Oryza sativa (indica cultivar-group) chromosome 2, whole genome shotgun sequence.
AAUAAGUUUAGUUUUAUACUAUCCUUAUCCAACGUUUGACCGUUCGUCUUAUUUAAUUUUUUAAUUAUUUUUAUUUAUUAGAUGAUAAAACAUGAAUUUUAUAUGUGACUAAUUAUUUUAUAAAAUUUUUAAAUAAUACGAACGGUUAAAUGUUAGAAACGGAUAUCCACGGCAACACUUAUA